rnacentral:RNase_P_RNA from 1 species
UGAGUCGGCUACACGGUUGCGCACUUUUUAAAAAGUGUGAGGAAAGUCCGAGCCCCACAGGGCAGAAUAGCGGCUAACGGCCGCCGAGGGUGACCUUAGGGAAAGUGCAACAGAGAUAUACCGCCGAUAAUUUCGGUAAGGGUGGAAAGGCGAGGUAAGAGCUCACCUACCGUUCGGAGACGAAACGGUACUGUAAACCCUAUUCGGAGCAACGCUGACUGCAGCGAUACACCAGCCCGGUGUGCUGCGAAAAGCGGCUUGAGCAAUGAAGCAAUUCUUUGUCGAGAUAGAUAACCGUGCAAGACAGAACUCGGCUUACAGGCCGACUCGCCCA